UCUGAUCACGCACCUAUUUCAUCUUCCCCAAAUCCCCCUUUCCUCUCACCUGCCUGCCUGCCUUGAUGCACCCCACCUUGAUUCCUGUUCACCGGGAUCCCAACCCACCUCGUCCCGAGCUCGGCGCCAGCCGCUGGCAGAUUUGAUCACUUAUACCGUCCCACUCCGUGAGGCUACUUUGGGCGACCUUGUCGGCGUGCCACCAGAUUUUGGCGUCCAUGGAUGACAACUUGCUCCCUGGGACUCCGCGGGGCUUCCCUGCCUCCCGUCCGUCGGAGAACCAUACAUGAGUCGGAUAAUGGAAGGUAUGGCAUUGCGUCAACCCCCCACCAUCAUGUGUCCUAAUUUCUGAUCAUUGUCAACAAUACAAUUCGAUGUUUCCAGUAAGCAGUAACCAUGCUUGGUAAGCAUCAGAUAUGUGCUUCGGCAUUCUAGUUUGUUUGCAUCAAUGGAUGAAAUUGGUUUAUGGAUCACCAAAUGAUCGAUGCACACAUAUCUUUAUUUAAAUGAUGCAGACACAUGUUGGCAAUAUUCAUUGCCAACUUGGAGUUACGAAAUUAUAUGCUUCCACUAGAUAUGAAUUACGUCACAACAAAUUGAUGUUUCUUAAUAUCCAUGCUUCCCAAAUUCAUUUGAUGUUUUCUUUGGUCGCCCAGGUAGUUUGGGGCAACAGAAACAUAUUUCUACUCCCUUUUGUACUUACUAUUGCAUUUUCAAGAGAAUUGUUUGUAUUUAAGAUGGCCAUCAUGCUUCCUAUAUUUCAUAUAUAUAUAUAUAUAUAUAUAUAUAUAUAUAUAUAUAUAUAUGCUGAAGUGGCGGUCUGAAAUGUCUCAUUUAUCCUUUUUGAAUGAUGCCAAAUCAAAUCCAAUAAAUAUCCAAAAAAAAAUUAGGACCAUGUGACAGUAGCAUGUAGGAAGAGUAGAUGCUUCCUUACACGGAAUUCUUUGCUUCUUCAAUACGGUACCAUACAUCUUCGUAAUACCCGUUAUUGGUUCAUACCUUCUAUACUUACGGACCAUGUCUAAUGAAUGUAUAACUCAAACAGUUCUAUGCUAGCUUUGGAGCUAAUGGGCGCAACUGCAGACAUAUAUGGAUGCGACCGUUGCAUGCAGCACUAAGUGUGAUGGCAGCUGGAACCACCCUGCAAUGAGGAUAAACGCAAGCGAGGAAAACGAGUCUACAGUCUAUAUAGAAACAUAUGACAAGAACUUAGGAUAUAUGACAGGAACUUAGGAAGCAUUGUACUCAUUAUUUGUAACUUGAAGGAAAAGAAAUGUGUAUCAUGUCUGAAACUAAUUGUAUGAAUGAACAAAGCAACAAGUAAAGUUAUGUUAGAUUAGAAGUAAAUUUAUUUUAC
rnacentral:lncRNA from 1 species